rnacentral:rRNA from 1 species
UACGAGGGGGGCAAGCGUGUUCGGAAUUAUUGGGCGUAAAGGGCGCGUAGGCGGUGCGGUAAGUCUGUUGUGAAAUCUCCGGGCUCAACUCGGAGUCUGCAUCAGAAACUGCCGUGCUCGAGUGUGGGAGAGGUGAGUGGAAUUCCCCGGUGUAGCGGUGAAAAUGCGUAGAUAUCGGGGAGGAACACCUGCGGCGAAAAGCGGCUCACCUG